rnacentral:rRNA from 1 species
GCUUAUGGCUAUGCCACCCUGAAAAAGCCCAAUUUCAUCUGACCUUGGAAGCAAUCCAGGGUUGGACAUGGUCAGUAUUUGGAUGGGAGACCACAUGGGAAUACCAGGUGCUGUAAGCU